AACACCACUUUGCAAGCAUAAAUUCCCUAAUCAUAGUUGCCCUUAAUAAUAAUAAUAAUGCCCUAAAAUAUAAUCAUCUACUAGAUAUGAUGUGGGCAUUGAGCUAAACAUUUUUUACAUCAAACUCAAUCUCAGAAAGACUGGUGGUGUUAGCCACAUUGUCGGCCAGUGAAACUGAGGCUCGAAGGAGAAAUAACUUGCUCAGGUCAUACAGUUAGUUUGUAGCUGAGUUGUGACUAAAACCCAGGUCUCUCGGAUUCCAAAGCUUGUGCUCAGAACCCCUGCAGUGUACAAAGUACCCAAAUAGUGCCCAUUACAGAUCAACUUCCGAGAACUGGGUCUUGCCUUCCUAGAGUGGAGUGGUGUUUCCUCCUUCACUCAUUGUUCAUUUCAUAUAUAUAAAACAGAACAUGAUCAUAUUUCAAUACGUAACUUCUGUACAACCAAAAAUUAAAACACCACAUUAAAAUAAAUGAGAAAAACAUGGUAUUUCAUUUGCAAUACUUGAAAAAAUGUUAACAUUCUUAAUCAUAAAUGAGCUUUUAGAAAUCAGUAACAGGCUAACAUUACAAGGG
rnacentral:lncRNA from 1 species